UUGUUAAAACAUCUUGCGGUCUGGCAACUGCAAAAGUUCAACAAGAA
rnacentral:sRNA from 1 species